rnacentral:rRNA from 1 species
UACGGGGGGGGCAAGCGUUGUUCGGAAUUACUGGGCGUAAAGGGCUCGUAGGCGGCCAACUAAGUCAGACGUGAAAUCCCUCGGCUUAACCGGGGAACUGCGUCUGAUACUGGAUGGCUUGAGUUUGGGAGAGGGAUGCGGAAUUCCAGGUGUAGCGGUGAAAUGCGUAGAUAUCAGGAGGAACACCGGUGGUGUAGACGGCUCACUGGACCGUAACUGACGCUGAGACACGAAAGCGUGGGUAGCAAACAGG